AAUCAACGCUGGCGGCGUGCCUAACACAUGCAAGUCGAACGAGAAAGUGGAGCAAUCCAUGAGUACAGUGGCGCACGGGUGAGUAACACGUGACUACCUACCCUCGAGUGGGGAAUAACCUCGGGAAACCGGGGCUAACACCGCAUAAUAUCUACGGAUCAAAUGCGAAAGCAGCUUGAGGAGGGGGUCGCGGCCGAUUAGCUAGUUGGUGAGGUAAUGGCUCACCAAGGCAAUGAUCGGUAGCCGGCCUGAGAGGGCGCACGGCCACACUGGGACUGAGACACGGCCCAGACUCCUACGGGAGGCAGCAGUGGGGAAUCUUGCGCAAUGCGCGAAAGCGUGACGCAGCAACGCCGCGUGAGGGAAGACGGCCU
rnacentral:rRNA from 1 species